rnacentral:rRNA from 1 species
GCUACCAUGCAGUCGGACGGUAGCACAGAGGAGCUUGCUCCUUGGGUGACGAGUGGCGGACGGGUGAGUAAUGUCUGGGGAUCUGCCCGAUAGAGGGGGAUAACCACUGGAAACGGUGGCUAAUACCGCAUAACGUCGCAAGACCAAAGAGGGGGACCUUCGGGCCUCUCACUAUCGGAUGAACCCAGAUGGGAUUAGCUAGUAGGCGGGGUAAUGGCCCACCUAGGCGACGAUCCCUAGCUGGUCUGAGAGGAUGACCAGCCACACUGGAACUGAGACACGGUCCAGACUCCUACGGGAGGCAGCAGUGGGGAAUAUUGCACAAUGGGCGCAAGCCUGAUGCAGCCAUGCCGCGUGUAUGAAGAAGGCCUUCGGGUUGUAAAGUACUUUCAGCGGGGAGGAAGGCGGUGAGGUUAAUAACCUCGCCNAUUGACGUUACCCGCAGAAGAAGCACCGGCUAACUCCGUGCCAGCAGCCGCGGUAAUACGGAGGGUGCAAGCGUUAAUCGGAAUUACUGGGCGUAAAGCGCACGCANGCGGUCUGUUAAGUCANAUGUGAAAUCCCCGGGCUUAGCCUGGGAACUGCAUUUGAAACUGGCAGGCUUGAGUCUCGUAGAGGGGGGUAGAAUUCCAGGUGUACCGGUGAAAUGCGUAGAGAUCUGGAGGAAUACCGGUGGCCAAGGCGGCCCCCUGGAUGAAGACUGACGCUCAGGUGCGAAAGCGUGGGGAGCUAACAGGAUUACAUACCCUGGUAGUCCACGCCGUAAACGAUGUCGACUUGGAGGUUGUUCCCUUGAGGAGUGGCUUCCGGAGCUAACGCGUUAAGUCCACCGCCUGGGGAGUACGGCCGC